ACAGGUUUUGAUAAAUCUCCCCCAUAAUCUUUAAAGAUGCCGUGAGGAAAUAUAUGUGGGGUACAGAACAGGGACCAGGGAUGCAUGCACAAAUAGCAAGUACAGCGGUCCCUCAAGUUACAAUAUUAAUUGGUUCCAGGACGACCAUUGUAUGUUGAAACCAUUGUAUGUUGAGACCAGAACUCUAUGGAAACCUGGUAAUUGGUUCUGAAGCCACCAAAAUGUCAUCCAAAAAUAGGAAAAGAAGUAUCUUGUGGCUCUCAUACUUUGUGCCGGUAUCCUUGUCACUUUGUGCAAUGCAUCCUGCUUUUUUGCACCUCCUCCUGACCUAAUGGAAGGCGAGACACUCAAGGGUUGUUUUCAUGAAGGAAAGUUAUAUGAACUUGACAGCGACUUUAGAGCUGAGGAUGUUUUAGACUGCUCAUGUUACUCAGAUGGGUCCAUGCAAUGUUGUGUAAAUUAUAAGGCGCUUGAAGAUUCGAAAAAAGGAAAGCUAGUCUGAGUCAAGGAUUGGUUAAAAUCUCGGACAUUCAGGAUUGUCAAGAUCAAGACAUGUUUAUUGCACACAUAAUUGGUCGAAAAUAUGUUUAAAG